GUUUUUGUACCAGCACUACUCUUUGGAAUAGAAGCUGUUCACGUGGCUGCACCUUUGGUGAUCUCUGUUUGUCUGUCCCAAAAUGUGGUUUAAUAUGGAUAUCUUCAGAUUUAAAUCUGGUAAUGUCAAAGAUCUCACUUUUUUUCUUAAAGUGCGAUAGUAUGCCAUUUUGUUAGAGCAUCUCCAACAGAUAUGCUAUAUUUUCUCUUUUUCCCUUUUUUUUUAUUACCAAAUUUGGAGAUUUCUUCAUCUAUCCUAUUUUCCUCCAUAUCAGAGGAGAGUUUAGCUUCGCUGCUGGAAUAAACCUUUUCCAAUUCUCCAAAACUUUAAAAUAGCAUAGCUGUUGUUGGAGAUGCUCUUAAACCUCAUGAUCAUGAACCACCAGAAAUUCCUAUGAAAUGCAUUUUCAUUGAUGCCAAAGGUGGUGGCUCUUUUCUCGUUUUUCCAUCUUUCAUUGUCCUUUCUAUCCUUAGUAAGUAUUGUACYUUUUAUUUCUGAAAAAUUAGGGGUCUGCUCGAAAUUGCCACUUGAGCUUCGAAACCCUGUAAGUGCGGUAACAUAUACAUCCAUUAUGAUGUUUGUGUUCCACACACACACAUGUUACUGAAUUUUCCAUUCCUUCAAUUUUCAGUGAUGGACUUCCUAUCGGUUUUCCUCAUGAUGUUUGUCACAUGAAUUUCUUCAAUCUCUAUAGAAACGAGCUUUUAAGGUACAUGUAGAGACAUUGCGUACAAAAUGACUUGACCAAUCCUGAUCUCCCCUCUUUAAGUCUAUCAAAAGGAUGUGAUCUGGUACAACUUUUGGUUUUUGUUUAUUUUAUUUUGAUGGGUGAUCUUUAAAUGUAUUUUGUUGUGGGUUUCAAAUAAAGAGAUAUUAGUGUCGCUUGCAUUGCAUUUUUAUUCCUCUUGAGAAAUGUUGGUACAGCUCUGAUAUUUCAGGACCUGAGGGCAUCUGACUUCUGUAUCAUCUAUCUGGUCAGUAAUGGAAAAUUAAUURGAAGGCUGUGUUUACAUAUACUGGUAAUUAGGCACAACAUGUCAUAUCUACUUGUAGUUCCAUUCUUGAGAAAGGAAUUGUGUAUUUGAUCUUUAUCCCCAUUAACUCGUCUAGUCUUUGGAUCACAUGCAGUUGACUGCUAGGCCGGAUAAUGGUAGUGAUGUUGAACUGUUUAUUCUUUGUUCCCAAAGUCAUUUUUCCAAAUACCCUGUUUAUAUAUGUUUACAUUCUCAUUAAAUGACUUGGCCUUUUGGAGUUCUCUCUUUUUAUGUCAUGUACAUGAGAUUUGCAAUGAAUAUGUCUUUUUAUACUUUGGCAGUUUUUGUACCAGCACAUCUUGUUGGAGCUGGUCAGUCUCAAAAUAUGGUUUGUAUCGACUCUUGGUAUCAARUCUGGCAUUGAUUGUUCCAUGGUGUUAAGAUUUACUUGAAAUUGCGAUGUAAGCGCCUUAACAUAUCCAUGCAAUAUGGUGUUGCAUUUGUUUUCCASACGCACAUACACAUGUUUCUGCAUUUUGUGUUCCUUGAAUCGAUCUGUUCAGUUCCCUGACUGAAUCUUGGUAAGUUGAUAUCAUGGUAUUGGUUAUUAGUCAUUUAGUUCCUAUUAAGUUGUAAGUAAUGUCUUGCAUGGAGUAACCGUUGAUGUUGAUUGCAUUCCUCGUACGRCCUAAUUGAAAUGCCAUCCUUGUGACAUUCUUCUUGGCCGGUCUGGAAAAAGAACUUAUGUUUACACCCGAAUCGGGGAAUUCAACAGAUACAAUCAGCCAUUUCUGUUUUGAACUUGCAUUGUUUACAUCUCCUCCUGGUAUUCUCAUUUCUCCACAAGUGUUAUCUUGAUUGAUGUUAACCAUUUUUCUGGGAUCAUUCCUAUAUUAAUCAACAGAGGAAAUAAAUAAAAUAUUUUACAAAUCUGUAUAUGACUCCCAACAGAAAGAUGUUGACGGGAGAGAGCUAUUUUUAGUUGACUUAGACACAAGUGACUGGAAUCCGCCACUUCUGCUUUCAACAUAUAUUUUUUACACCCCCUCCUAGUACUCUUAUUUCUCCGCAAUCUUGAUGUUAACCCUUUCUCUGGGAUCAUUCCUAGAUUUAUCAAGUGAAGGAAAUAAAUGAAAUAUUUUAUGUGGCUUUCAACAUAGAGAUGUUGACAUGAGAGUUAUGUCAAAAUGUGUUUUAAGUUGAAUUAGAAAACGGAUGGCUUUUAAUCCCUCCUUGGUUUAAAAAUUCUUGCUUAAAUUAAUCACCUUUAAUCAAAGGCCAGGGUUUCUCGAAAAUAUCUUUCUCUUUUUCAUACAUUAUCAAAGCCAUUCUAAAUACUCUGUUUAUAUACAUCUACAUUCUUUGUGUGUCAUUUACUUGUUUUUCACUAAAUGACAACCUUUUAGAGUUCUGUCASGAGUGGCUGAUGAUCUGCCGGAUAAUUUGAUCAUCAUGGUUUGAUUUUUGGGAAAUUUCUUUCCCCCCUCUGUUUAUGACAUGUACACGAGUUUUGCAAUAACAUGUUCACGGUUUCUUACUUCGGAAGUUCUUGUACCAGUGCAUCUUGUUUGGAGCUAAAGUUGUUCGGUACGCUGCACSUUGGACUAUCUUGGUUCGUCUGUCUCUAAUUAUUUUUUCAUGCCGACUAUUAGUCUCRAGCAUGGCAUUGGCCAUUCUUCAUAAUUUUUUUGUUUUUAGAUGUGCAUUUUUGCUUCUUUAGUUAUUUCCAGUUCUUCAUAUUGAUAUCCAGUACCCUUGCUCAAAAGAUCUCGCCUUUUGUAGAGCACGCUAGUGGAACCUCAUGAUGAGCCUUCCCCCGACACUAAAGGUUGAGUUCAUGGCUUUGGUUGUCCCUUCUAUUUCGUGUAAUGGAGGAUGCGUUGCUUUUUGUUCUUCUGCUAGACCAUGGAUCUAGCCAACUCAAGGACUAUGUUUGUGGACAAYUCUUGCAAAUCCCAUGCAUGGUGGUAAACUGCAAUCCUGGUAAAUGGAACCGAGCUGGUUUGUCGUUUCUGUUCAAAAUCUCAAUUCAUAUCCAUGUAGAUAUUUUUCGUUUAUUACUUCUUUUAGGUUAUAUGACUUGGCCAUUUUUAGUUCUGUCAACGAAUGAAUUACCUACCGGAUGAUUUGGUUAUCAUGGCUUAAUUUGGACGAUGCGAUUGGGAAAUUCUUUUCUUCCCUCUGUUUUGCAGUAACAUGUUCUUGUUUUUUUUUUUUUGCUUCUUCGGUUUUGUACCAGCUCUAUUUUGUGGAAUAGAAGUCGUUAAUUAGGCUGCAGCUCGGCCAUCUCUGUUGGUCUGUCUCAAAAUAUGGUUUAAUAUGGAUGAUACGUAUGGAUAUGUAGGGAUCAUUGCCUACUUAGUACAUUUAGUGCAUAAAUAAUGUUGUAGCUGAUCAUAGUCCUGUGGUUUAUCCUCUCUCUUAAUUUCCCCUACUUAUAUGGGUUGUUUGUUCUUAGAGGGGAUAUGACUAACAUACACAAUUUCCUCAUUACUGAACUUUCUCUCAGAUUCCUAUUUGAUCCUUAAUUUCGAAGAUAAUUCCAUACUUGAUUUUCCAGAUUUAAGAGUUUCAGUUGGUCCUUGGUAUUAUCAACCCUGAUUGAAUUUAUAUUAUUAUAUCAAUGGGUGUCCAUAUUUCUCCGGUACUGUCAAAAGAUCUCACUUUUUUCUUAAAGCGCGAUAGUAUGCCGUUUUAGACCUCAUGAUCAUGAGCCAUCAGAAAUUCCUUAAGUAUGCAUUUUCAUUGAUGCCAAAGGUGGUGGCUCUUUACUCUGUUUUUCCGACUUUGUGUUUGUGUUCCACACACGCACCACACGCACAUGUUGCUGAUUUUUCUAGUCCUCCUAUUUUCGGUGAUGGACUUCCUAUCCAUUUCCCUCCAUGUGGUGUUCUGUAAUGUGGAUUUUUUUGCGGAAAGUAACGGCUGAUGUUGCUUGCAGAUCCUCAUAUGGCUAAUUAAAAAACAAUGCUCAAGAGUUCUCUCACACGGGCUGGAAUCUGCUUUCAUAUUAUAUUGUUUGCAGUCCAUCGUGGUGCUCUCAUUAAUUUAUCCCUUUCGUAUUAUAUUGUUUGCAGUCCAUCGUGGUGCUCUCAUUAAUUUAUCCUCCUGAUGUUCAACAGUAAGUCUUUUGUUGGCCCUCUCUUUAGUUGGCAUGUAGUGGUGUCAUGGAAUUUUUUAAAUGAUCUGCAUGAUAGUAAUUUCGCGUUUUGUGUGAUGAUUUCGGGAAAUCAAACUUGUUUGGCACUGGAAUCAUCUAUGAGGUUCUGCAAUUCCCAUUUCUUUUGUUGAUUUUAACCUCAAGCUUCAUGUACAUGCCGAGACAUUGCAUACUAAAUGACUUGCAGAUUUCCCCUCUUAAGUCUAUCAAAAGGAUGUGCCCUGGUACAACUUUUGGUUUUUGUUUAUUUUAUUUAAUGGGCUGAUCUUUAAAUUACUUUGUUGUGGGUUUGGAAUAAAGAGAUAUUGGUGUCACUUGUAUUGACUAUUUACUCCUCUUGAGAAAUGUUGGUACAGCUCUGAUAUUUCAGGGCCUGAGGAUCAGCAUCAUCUGGGUACUUAUCGGAAAUUAAUUGGA